CCUACGGGAGGCAGCAGUAGGGAAUCUUUCACAAUGGGCGAAAGCCUGAUGGAGCAAAGACGCGUGCAGGAUGAAGGCCUUCGGGUUGUAAACUGCUUUUAUAAGCGAGAAAUAUGAUGGUAACUUAUGAAUAAGGAUCGGCUAACUACGUGCCAGCAGCCGCGGUCAUACGUAGGAUCCGAGCAUUAUCCGGAGUGACUGGGUGUAAAGAGUUGCGUAGGUGGCAUAAUAAGUAGCUAGUGAAAUCUGGUGGCUCAACCAUUCAGACUAUUAGCUAAACUGUUAAGCUCGAGACCGUUAGGGGUAACUGGAAUUUCUAGUGUAGGAGUGAAAUCCUUAGAUAUUAGAAGGAACACCAAUAGCGUAGGCAGGUUGCUGGGACGGUUCUGACACUAAGGCACGAAAGCGUAGGGAGCAAACGGGAUUAGAUACCCUAGUAGUC
rnacentral:rRNA from 1 species